GUAAAUCCUUACCUCUCACUGU
rnacentral:miRNA from 12 species